rnacentral:rRNA from 1 species
AGCAGCCGCGGUAAUUCCAGCUCCAAUAGCGUAUAUUAAAGUUGUUGCAGUUAAAAAGCUCGUAGUUGAAUUUCGGGGUUAGUAGAUUGGUCAUGCCUCUGGUAUGUACUGGUCUCACUGAUUCCUCCUUCCUGAUGAUCCGUAAUGCCAUUAAUUUGGUGUUGCGGGGAAUUUGGACUGUUACUUUGAAAAAAUUAGAGUGUUUAAAGCGACUAACGCUUGAAUACAUUAGCAUGGAAUAAUGAAAUAGGACGUUCGAUCCUAUUUUGUUGGUUUCUAGGAUUGACGUAAUGAUUAAUAGGGAUAGUUGGGGGCAUUAGUAUUCAAUUGUCAGAGGUGAAAUUCUUGGAUUUAUUGAAGACUAACUACUGCGAAAGCAUUUGCCAAGGAUGUUUUCAUUAAUCAAGAACGAAAGUUAGGGGAUCGAAGACGAUCAGAUACCGUCGUAGUCUUAACCAUAAACUAUGCCGACUAGGGAUCGGAUGAUGUUAAUUUUUUAAUGACUCA